GGGUGCGAUCAUACCAGCACUAAUGCACCGCAUCCCAUCAGAACUCCGAAGUUAAACGUGCUUGGGCGAGAGUAGUACUAAGAUUGGUGACCUCUUGGGAAGUCCUCAAGUUGCACCCC
rfam:Ricinus communis cultivar Hale ctg_1100012319333, whole genome shotgun sequence.